rnacentral:rRNA from 1 species
GUGUCAGCAGCCGCGGUAAUACGUAGGUGGCAAGCGUUGUCCGGAAUUACUGGGCGUAAAGGGCGUGUAGGCGGCCUUUUAAGUCAGACGUGAAAUCCCUGGGCUUAACCCAGGAACUGCGUUUGAAACUGAGAGGCUUGAGGAUCGGAGAGGGCAGUGGAAUUCCCAGUGUAGCGGUGAAAUGCGUAGAUAUUGGGAGGAACACCAGUGGCGAAGGCGACUGUCUGGACGACACCUGACGCUGAGGCGCGAAAGCUAGGGGAGCAAACGGGAUUAGAUACCCCGGUAGUCCUAGCCGUAAACGAUGGGUACUAGGUGUGGGAGGUAUCGACCCCUUCCGUGCCGCAGUUAACACAAUAAGUACCCCGCCUGGGGAGUACGGCCGCAAGGUUGAA